rnacentral:misc_RNA from 1 species
UCCCCUUUUCAUGAGUAAAUUUUUUCACAUCCUCCAUACUUCUACUAUCCUCUUUUAGCCGUAAUCCUUUCUCCCUGUGCUUCAUAGUCUGCCUAGCUGCAAUUUUGCUUUCUUUCUGUUGAACCUCUACAUAGUUCUCAUGUUUCUGAAAGUCAUCAGCUCCAGCCUGUCGCUUCUCAGUUUCUACAGGUUUCCAGUCCAUGUGAAAUUUCUUCUCAUCCCCUUCCUGUCUAGAAGCCUCUCGAGCCACUUGUAACUUCUUAUCAAUUCCUUUCUGUCUGUUUACCACUUCUGAUCUCCCACUGCUUCUUCUGUCCACCGGUUCAUCAUCUGCUCUAACUGCUUUUACUUUCUUGUGAUUUCUUUCAAGCUGCUGCAAUGCUUCCACAGUCUCCCCUUUUCCCUUCUUUGCACGCUCAUGAAAAUUUGAAUUAUGCAACAAAUCGUUUUCAGUGUUUUCCUGGUCAAAGGCCUUUCUAGAUUUAUUUGUUACCAGUUCAAAAAAUUGAGUAGCUUCUUUCCAUUCACUAGCACCAUCGAUUCUCUCAGAAACUUGAGAUGAUGAGGAUUCCCUUCCAUGAUUCUCCUCUGCAGUUUUUU